ACAACCGGUCAUAGCACUUUAUAUGUGUGAUGACGUGCUUUUUGUAGAACGAGCCAACGAGUCACGAUAUGUAGCGAGGUUAAGUACUUAAGGUACGGAGCCGAAGGGAAACCGAGUCUUAAUAGGGCACAAAGUUGCAUGUCGUGGACCCGAAACCGGGUGACCUAUCCAUGGCCAGGUUGAAGCGAGAGUAAAAUCUCGUGGAGGACCGAACCACGUUGGUGUUGAAAAACCAUGGGAUGAGCUGUGGAUAGCGGAGAAAUUCCAAUCGAACUCGGAGAUAGCUGGUUCUCCUCGAAAUAGCUUUAGGGCUAGCGUCGAAUAUGAGUAAUGGAGGUAGAGCACUGAAUGGGCUAGGGGGCAUAUCGCUUACCGAACCUUAUCAAACUCCGAAUGCCAUAUACUAUUAGUUCGGCAGUCAGACUGCGAAUGAUAAGAUCCGUAGUCAAAAGGGAAACAGCCCAGAUCGUCAGCUAAGGUCCCAAAGUGUAAGUUAAGUGGAAAAGGAUGUGGGAUUUCAAAGACAACUAGGAUGUUGGCUUAGAAGCAGCCACUCAUUAAAAGAGUGCGUAAUAGCUCACUAGUCGAGAGAUCCUGCGCCGAAGAUGUUCGGGGCUCAAACUUACCACCGAAGCUACGGGCUUACAGUAAUGUAAGCGGUAGAGGAGCGUCGUAAACGGGCAGAAGUCGUACCGAAAGGAGCGGUGGACUGUUUACGAGUGAGAAUGUUGGCAUUAGUAGCGAGAUGUGAGUGAGAAUCUCACAGGCCGAAAACCUAAGGUUUCCUCAGGAAGGCUCGUCCGCUGAGGGUUAGUCGGGACCUAAGCCGAGGCCGAAAGGCGUAGGUGAUGGACAAUAGGUUGAUAUUCCUAUACCACUACCAUCGUUAUUACCGAUGGCGUGACGCAGGAGGAUAGUGUGUGCUAGCUAUUGGAUGCUAGUCUAAGCACUUAGGGAGUUAAGACAGGAAAAUCCGUUUUAACAAUUCUGAGGUGUGAUGGGGAAGUCCAUUUAUGGAUGAAGUACAUGAUUCCACGCUGCCAAGAAAAGCGUCUAGGGAGAAAAGUAGUGCCCGUACCGCAAACCGACACAGGUAGGUGAGGAGAGAAUCCUAAGGCCGGCGGAAGAAUUGCAGUUAAGGAACUCGGCAAAUUGACCCCGUAACUUCGGGAGAAGGGGUGCCUACGAGAGUAGGUCGCAGAGAAUAGGCCCAAGCAACUGUUUAGCAAAAACACAGGUCUCUGCUAAAGCGAAAGCUGAUGUAUAGGGGCUGACGCCUGCCCGGUGCUGGAAGGUUAAGGGGAACACUUAGCGCAAGCGAAGGUGUGAACUUAAGCCCCAGUAAACGGCGGCCGUAACUAUAACGGUCCUAAGGUAGCGAAAUUCCUUGUCGGGUAAGUUCCGACCCGCACGAAUGGCGUAAUGAUUUGGGCACUGUCUCAACUGCAAAUCCGGCGAAGUUG
rnacentral:ncRNA from 1 species